CGUCUUUAUUUAUUACUCAACAUCUCUGAUGGCCUUUAAAGGCCAUCAGAGAUGUUGAGUCAGACAUCAGUUUGUUGCUCUGUGAAGAUGUUGUUUAUUCUGUUUCACCUGAAAUCUAUGGUAGAUUUUAUUUUUAUAUACGUCACUCUGACGCUCCUCCUCUCAGCUCUUGCUUCUUCUUCCGUGAAGCCGUCGAAAUCAGUCCUCGGUUCAAAAACCGUCCUCUUCUCGGCUAGAAAUUCUUAGUUUGCCUAAACUUAAGUUGAAGUUUCCUCUAACCUUGAAGGAGCUCUACAGAGUUAAUUCUUAAAGUUUAACUCGAUUGCUGCUGAUUUUGUUAAACUCAGGGUUAAACUGGCAGAGGAGCUUAAAGAGGAAAUGGCUGCUUCUCUAACUGCGUCACUCGUGUUUUCUCUGCUGCUUUUCACCUUCAGUGUUUCUACUGGUCAGAGAAUCAUCACAGCAGAACCAGGAGACAACGUCAUUCUGACAUGUAGAGCAGCUGAGAACAAAGAGGUUAUAGUUGUAGAGUGGAGGAGAACUGAUCUGAGGUCAGAUCAUUAUGUUCUUCUGUACAGUGACAGUCAGUCUGAUCCAGAUUUUCAGCUCCCAUCCUUUAUUAACCGGGUGUCUCUGCUUGACAUGAAGAAUGGAGACGUGUCUUUGGUUCUGAAGAACGUGAAGACUGAUGAUACAGGAACAUAUGAGUGUCGAGUCAUUCAGGGAGGAAUUAAUGAAUUUAUGUUCAUCAGCAUCAUUAACCUGAGAGUUAAACCAGGUGAGUCUGUCUGUGGAUCAGAAGCUCCUGCAGCUUCCUGGUUGUUGAUGGAAGAGAGAAACAGAUCAGAUGUUAGAUGAUGGAGAUGGACAGAAAGACUUCAAUGAAUCCUGGUUUUCAUUUCUGACAGAACCAUCCUAGAACUGAACAAUUUGACAGUUUUCUUCCAGAAAGUCCAACAGAAAUGUAGAACGUCAUCCAGCUGCUUUGAUUUAGUUCAAGAAGCAUCAGAUGCUGCUUUGCAGCUGCUGCUAAAAUCAUCUAUUAUUACAGUUCUACAUGAUGUGCUCUAAGACAUUUAUUUAUUAUUGAAGACAUAGAAACAAAUGUGGAGAAUCAGAAGAUAAAUGAGGGCUGGCAGUGACUCUGUUUAAAAUCAGUCUCCAUGUCAUUCCAGUCAUUUAGCAAUCAGCUGAUUUCAGGUAAAGAUGCUGAAAUCAAUGCAGAAUAAAGUCUAUUUCAGUCCCCAGUAGUCAGACAUCAGAUAUGUAGAGCAGCAUCAUGUGAUCUGCUCCUGGCCAGCACCAAGAUGGACUCCUGGCUUUCAGAGAACAGCUUCUGGAUCAGAGGAUUGUUGCUGUUCUGGAGCAGAACAGCAACAAUCCUCCAGAACUUUCCUCAGGAUCCUGUUAAAGGUGGAGAAAGAUUUCUACCAUCAAGCUGUUUAGUCACUUUAAGCAACAUGACAAGCUGCAGAGCUGCACUACAAGGUCACCUUCAAGAACUGCUGCUAUGGUCUGCUGCUGUCUACAACAUUUAAUCUAGUGGACCUUCAGAGGAGGGAGCGUAAUAGAAAGGUGGAGGAAACAGAGCUGGAGAUGCUGAUGAGACUCUGGAGGAAGCAGCUGCUCUGAGAUCAGAGAUCAGUAGAUGAUGAGGGACAGCAGCUUCUCUAUCGUCUCCUAGCUGAAAGACCAGACUAACUCCUGAUUCUCUU